CUUCCUUUGCCUUGUCUUUCCUUCUCAUUCUGUCCUCUAUUGGAAAAAACCAACAUCCCUCUUAAAAAAUAUACAUAGAUGAUCAAGGCUCUAAGCCACUUAAUGUUUAAGUCUUAGUUAGCAUGUGUAUAAAAUCCAUGUACACAUACACAGAGAUGAAUCAUUUGAUAAGAGGGCUUUGAAAACUGGCUUCCUGUGAAUUGUUCCUUUCACUAAGAAGUAUUCAAUAGGGCACUUCCUUCUUGCAAACAGAGGAGGAAUAAUGGGUAUCAAGGGAUCAGAGAAAAUGGGUCCUUCCAAAGAGCAAUGCCUCUGAAAACAGCUGCUAACUAGAGCUUCUAAGCCACAGCCUGCAUCUGUUUGGAAUAUUAGAAAAGCAGUGUGCCAGUCUCCAUGGAGACAAUGCACAAAGUGUAACCAAGUGCUGGAUGCUUUCAAGGCAGAGCCUCUUCUCCCCAAUGGGCUGCCAUGAUGUACUCUGUCCUGCCAGCAGUCAUGCUGGUACAUUUGUCUCCCUUCCUUAGUUAGAGCCACAUCAGCUUUGCUCUUUACAAUGGCCCCGCCAAAGGUCGCCCAUCUGUGCCCUUUGUGGAGGGAGCUGGCAGACUCAUUUCCCAGGUGAUGGUACACGGCCCGCUGAGCCCUGUGAAAGGGAGCAUCUCCUAGGAAGGAGCCAUCGAUCUGUUGCCUGGAGCAUUGUGGUAAGGGAGACCAUUCAGUCAAAUCCCUGGCAGCCAGAAGUGCCCAGGCUAGUCUCUCCAGACAAAAAAGAGUGCAACCCACAUCAAGCUGGUGAGGGCCCAGGUCAGGGCAGCAACUGAAGAAGCAUCAGUCUCUUCAAUUGGUCCCAAAUGCUUCGGCCUGGGUAUGAUACUUUUACAAGAAAGCGCUCACCCUCAAGAAACAAGAAGUGGAUCCACAGGCACUGCUCCCUGGGAAGUGCCAAGAAAAUUAAGAAACUAUGAUUGGUUCCUGAGAUGUGAUAGACCAGAUCACAGUGAAAGGAAGUAGAAACCAGAGAGAGAGAAAGUGACAUGGGAAAGGGGCUUAUAAAAGGUGAGACUGAAAGGCUGAGAUUCAUUCUACAUUGGGGAUUUGGGCAUUGGAAAGUCUGCAGUUGGAGAUUCGCAUGCUGGGGAUUUGGGUGUUGGUGGCUCUUGAUGAAAGAAAGAUUCUGUGUUGGAAUUGAUUCUGCAUUGGAAACUCUUUGGUGGCUCAGCCUUUUCAGUGUCAGUCUUUCAAUUUGAUGAUACACAUGGCUGGAGACACUCUCAUGGGCUGGUGAGAUUCGCAUUUGGAUUCGCACUCAUGGUCUGGAAGCAUUUAGAUCUGGACAUAGGGUAUUUAGUAAAGCAAUAUUUUCUACCUCCUUCCUACAUUUCCCUCUCUUUACUAUCUCUACUUUACUAUAGUAAAGCUACAAAAGCUACUAACAAAUUCAUAGUUUAAUUUUUAAUGAUUACAAAUGGCAACCACAGCUUUUUUAACUGUUAAUUUGACCAAAACCAGCUUUAACACUUACAACUUCACAUGUAUGAUCUCAUUUGAGCUUUACAUCAGCCUUCUAAAGGAAAUGCUAUUUUUUCCAAUCUCAUUUUACAGGUAGAAAAUUGGGGCUGAUAAAUAGUAGGUGAUUUGCCCAAGGUCACAGAGCAAUUGCACGUCUAAGGCAGAAUCAGAACUCGUGUAUUCCAUACUCCAAGCCCAACAGUCUACCCAAUAUUAUAUAUGUCAUGGAAUUGCCUCACUUCGUGGGCAGGAGUGAUCCGAUCUCCGUGUUGGUUCUACGACCUGUUUCCUAACCAGAAAGAACCCAGAGCACCUACAGACCCAGUCUUUAUCUAAGACACUACUAGAUGAUUGGUCCUCUUCCGGAUAUGAGUUGACCUUCUUGCCUGGGCCUUGAACACUAGGCGAUCUCUGCCAUCUCACCCCUCAGCCACCUUCAUUCCUUGCCCCUGUCACAGGUUCUGGCAGAUUAGAACUCAGACCAGGCAAGUUUCUGUUGCAUUGGGGCUCAUGACUUAGUGGGAGUGGGUUAGGCAUAUAUGAUAUGAAACCACACGCUUUAACAUAGGAGGGAGAGGCCUGGGGGCAGUUCAGAUGGAGGAUCCAGGGAGAGUCCCCAUACAGAGAUUCACUGUCUCACUUCUUUCCCUGUGAAUCUGAAUUAAGGCUAGAAAAGGAAUGAAUAAGGACACGGAGUCUCCUGCCUGCCAGCCAGCCAGCCAUCCUCUCCAGUCCAUCAACAGAGCAGUGAUUCUGCACCACGUGGGGAUGUGGAAGGUAGACAGAGUCAGUCUGGAGUCAGGAUAGAUCAGAUCAAAUCUCACCUCGGCACUGUGAUCCUAGGAAAGUCAUUGCAACCUCAGUUUACUUCAGCUUCCUCAUCUGUAAAUGGGAUAAUAAUAGUAUCCACCUCCCAGGAUUGUUCUAAGGAUCAAGUGAGAUAAUAAUUGUAAAAUGCGUGGCCCAAAGUAAUCACUACAGAAGUGUUAGCUAUUAUUGUUAUUAUUAUUAUUCUCCCCUGCCUCCUUAGCUGCUUCUGUUAGCAGAGAACAACGGGCCCCUUUCAACUCUCACCUGCUGGAGUUCUUCGGACACUGCUGGACACCUCCCCCAAAGCACACAGCUCAUUUUGGGUGGCUUCCAGGUCGGACAGCCCCGAGCAACUGGAGCCAAAAGAAGGCAAUGCACGGCUAAGAAAGACAAUUCCCAGGCCUACAAAGUCCUGGUUUGGAGGAAUGGCAAAAGGCCCGGGAAUGAUGCGAGCAUAUUUGCCUUUUAGCACCAAGCCCCCACCGCCCCCCCCCACACACACACUUGGACAGACACAGAAGCAGGGCGGUCUGUCUUUCUGGCCCUUUCUUUCACCAACCAAGAGUCAUGGAGCCCCUCAAAGGGCCAUCCAGGAGCUCUCCACCUCCCUCCAACAAAGCUUCUACUUCCUGGCAAGAAGGGAUGGGGAGCCUGGAAGGCGGGUCCAUAGCCAGGAAGAUAGCAAAGGGAGAGGUUACCAAGGAGCCUCCCUCCUUCCCAUCCUCUCAAAAACAGCAUCUGACUGGCCAGCAAAAGACACUCUAAGAAUCACUCAAAGAAAUGAGCGAACCAUAAUAGAGUCCUAACAGGGAAAGAGGGUCAUAGGCAGACAGGAGACAAAUUCAAGUAACACACACCAACACCAGCAUUAAAACGCAAGGAAGACUUCUUUCUGGACACAACUAACCUGGCAAUAAAUACAAGAGAGAAGUUACAGGUCAAACAAACAAGGCACCCAGGGCACCCUGGGAAUCCAAGGACAAAGGACCAAUGGAACGUAGGCGUUUAGGGAUUCAUAAUUGCAAACACACAAAAGAAAAUAACAAACAUGGACACAAAUGGUGCGUUUUUCAUCUUCUUAAAUAGAUAUACUUCUUUUUAGUCAAACUAAUAUGUUGGGAAGCUUUAAUCAAGGGUGCUCCUAAAACAGUUUGGGGAGCCAUAGAGGAGCCAGUGUCUGGGGGGAAAUUUUAAUAACAGCUUCCUAGGAAAGACAGGGACUCACUAUUUGAAGCCUCCCGGGGAUUAGAGUUCUCUGAUGGAGGCUGCUCCCAAGAACUGGUUGGCUCUUUCUUCUGUGGGAUGGAGUGUUCGGGAGAGCACUUUGGUCUUCCUUAGGAAAGGAAACAUAAAGAGACUUUGAAUUGCUUUUUUACCCCUUUUUCCUUUUUUCCGUAGAGCUCCCAAGAGCCAAACAGUCAGGAGCCUCAAAGGCACCUUCCAUACAAGUUCUCGCACUCACACACAAAUACUGGCAGCCCCUAAGAGUGACCUGAGAGUGAAGUUAAGGUCUUGGUCCAAGCUUUGGAUCAACAAUAACCCGGCCUCUCAAUCAUAAGGGAACCCACACGGCCAAGUGGUGAGACUUCUUGGGAGUUGUACUUAAAAGGGCCCCAGGCUCAAGAUUCCCAGGAUUUAGCCUUCCACACAGAAUCUCUUGGUUGAAACAUGUUUUGGGAUAUAGAUAAUGUGAAAUUUUGCUUUGCUGGGUGAUAAAUAUUUAUUGUAUGGGGUUUUGUUGUUAUCGCUCAGCUAGAGGCAGAACAGUAGGAGGGAGACAUGAUAAAUAUGGGUAAAAAGAAAUUAAAUUUUUAAAAAAGAAAGAGAAACUCACCAGAUUCCCAUUGUACUGUCUCCAUAGCAAGCCUAAAGGAUUUUCCUCCUGGAAAAAAAGUCCAAACUGUAGCAUGGCCAAAAGAUUAUGGAUAACUUUAGGACUCUGGGAAAAAGUGGCACAACAUAUAGACAAAGAAAUGUGUUUGUUUUUGUUGGGGGGGGGUAACCCUUGCCUUUUGUCUUAGAAUCCACAUUUCCAAGGCAGAAGACUGAUUAGGGCUAGACCAGGGUCACAAAACUAUGAAAUAUCUGAGGACAGAUUUGAAUCCAGGACCUCCUAUCUCCAGACCCGUGAUUGAGCCACCCAGCUGCCCUGGGUAUUGGUUUGUGUUGAUUUUUCUAAAAAAAAAAAUAGGGUAUAUAAUCCUACUUUAUUUAGGUACUGUAUAUUAUGUAUUUAUGUGUGUUAUCUAUGUGUUCACUCUAAGUCCUUCUAUGUGUUUACAUUUUCUGUGCUAUCCUGUUUUGGCUAUAUGCACUGCUCUCCUGGGUGAUAGAAAAGGAGCACCUUCUGCCCCACCUGAAUGGAGACCUGGACAUGAGCCAUCUUCUGAGAUCCCUUACAGUAAACUCUGGCUGAGUGCAUCGCAAGCCAAAGAAGAACUUCACGAGUAUUGACAGAAGGGACUGCAACCCAGUGAAUAAGUGGGCAUAUUGCGAAGAGGGUUUCAAAAGUCAUCCUGUACGUCAUUUCUCACAGCUCCGUAGUGUUCCCUCACCAUCCCCGAGCCAUGACAGAGAGCGCCGAGCGAGCAUUUCCCG